rnacentral:rRNA from 1 species
GAACAUAAGAGUUUGAUCCUGGCUCAGAUUGAACGCUGGCGGCAUGCUUUACACAUGCAAGUCGGACGGCAGCACAGGGAAGCUUGCUUCUCGGGUGGCGAGUGGCGAACGGGUGAGUAACAUAUCGGAACGUACCGGGUAGCGGGGGAUAACUGAUCGAAAGAUCAGCUAAUACCGCAUACGUCUUGAGAGGGAAAGCAGGGGACCUUCGGGCCUUGCGCUAUCCGAGCGGCCGAUAUCUGAUUAGCUGGUUGGCGGGGUAAAGGCCCACCAAGGCGACGAUCAGUAGCGGGUCUGAGAGGAUGAUCCGCCACACUGGGACUGAGACACGGCCCAGACUCCUACGGGAGGCAGCAGUGGGGAAUUUUGGACAAUGGGCGCAAGCCUGAUCCAGCCAUGCCGCGUGUCUGAAGAAGGCCUUCGGGUUGUAAAGGACUUUUGUCAGGGAAGAAAAGGCCGUUGCCAAUAUCGGCGGCCGAUGACGGUA